UUACGGCCAUAUCACGUUGAAACACCGGUUCUCAUACGAUGACUGAAAUUAAGCAAUACUGAACCUGAUCAGUACCUAGAUGGAUGAUCGCUCGGGAAUGUCAGCUGCUGUA